rnacentral:rRNA from 1 species
UUGUCGAUUCCUGMRRAAUGCAGAACAACCCGCRAACUGGUUUAUAAAUUCUASCGUCCUGCCUCGUGCGGGAACUGUGCGUGGUGCGUCAGAUCCCCGGACAGCGCCCUGCGGGCGAUGCGCGGYUCGCSCGGCCCACGCCCCCUAACGAACCCCGACGCGAUCAGCGUCAAGGAACAAUUAACUCAGAACAUGGCUGCCCAUGCCCCGAUUUCGGGACACAAGGGUCCUGUGAAYUUGGUCAUUUAUCGAAACGACUCUCGACAAUGGAUAUCUUGGCUCUCGCAUCGACGAAGAACGAAGUGAAAUGCGAUACUUGGUGUGAAUUGCAUAAUCCCGUGAACCAUUGAGUUUUUGAACGCAAGUUGCGUCCGAAGCCUUCUGGCUGAGGGCACGUCUGCCUGGGCGUCACGCACCGUUUGCCCCCCUUCCCSUGCACCCUAAAACCAACAAGGAUCAGUCGGUCCCUCGAACCAAGCAGACUCGCGCUACUUUGUAGGGGUGGGCUGUGUCGGCCUUGGCGGGCCGGCAGGCGGUCAGGCUGGGGGGCGAAGUUGGCCUCCCAUGCGGGCAGCCUCCCGGUUGGCCUAAAUUUGAGUUCUCGGYAUCCUUGCAGCGCGAUCAACGGUGGUAGCCAUGCCCUCGACUGAUCACGUUGCGCAUGCGGGACGCGCGCGGGAACUCCUCCAGGACCCUAAUGCGCCUACUCGCCGGACGAGACCGGUGAGGAGACGUCAUAUCGAAGCGACCCCGGGUCGGGCGGGACCACCCACUGAAU